GACUCGCUCCUACCCCCUACCCCAGUGCUCUCCACCCCAAGGUAGGCGGCUUCCCGCUCCUCGUCUUGGGACCUAACCCCAGGAAGUCAGAUGUCCUUGUCCAGCAGGUCGCCUGGCUAGAGGCCGUGGACGAAGCGGUCCAGGCACAGCCAGCUGCAGGGCGCGGCCUCGGCGGCGCUGCUCGUGGCCCUGGUCAGUGAGCGCACGCACUCCUGGACUAAGCAUUAUUCUCUUGGAUUCACCUUUGCAAAGAAUUGAACAAAAUAGAAGCCAAAGAAGUAGACAGAAAAUAAAUCAAUCCACUCUGCUCAAAGAGCACACAGUCUAAUGAAGAUGAUGAACAUGAAGUCAACUUUGUAGUGUUGAGAACACUGGUUCUCCAGAGCAGCACUUCUCAUCAGAGGCUGCAUGUUAGACUUACCUGGGGAGCAUACAUAAGUUCAGAUGCCCAGGCUGUACUUCAGAAUCUCUGGAGCUCUAUGCAACUCAUUUUCAUCUAGCAUUACCUCUCCAAAACCUGAAUCUCCACAAGAAAGCCAUACAGCAAUUAACCAGUGUUGCAAGGACUGCUUCUGUAAUAGAGGAUCUGUGAUCUUCUCAUUUUGCCUGGUAGUUGUGUUGUUUCCUCCGGGUACUGAUCACACUUGUACAAAUGGACAGAUGUUGAAAAUACAUCCACUGGUGGGAAGACAAACUGAUGCAACUCUCUUGAAAAGCAAUCUGGCAAUAUGAACCAAAAGCCAUGAAAACGCUUGUGCUAUUAUAAUUAAAUGGCUGUAAUGUUGGCUGUAAAUAUGAAAUUUUCUUUCAUACACCAAUAUUUUCAAGAAUGGCAUAUUCACAUGCAGUAUGUGAAAUACUGAUUAGCAACUAUCCACAGACAAGAAUGCCUUUGUGAAAAAUCCCAGAACCCAAGACGUCGUGGGGAGAAGGGACAGGGGAGGCACUGGCCCUGCCCAAUCAGAGACUCUGGCAGCUUGCCUCAUCUAUCCAUGGGUACUACCAGAUGGCCUAUCCCACUCCAGGCUGGGAUGACUCAUGAAGGUCUUUUCCGAAUGAAGUAAACCAGUAAAGGCUGGAAGAGGGAACAGCUUACUCAAAUGCAUAGACACCAAUGCAAGGAUACAAGCAUCACGAAGAAUCAGAGGAACAUGACAUUACCAAAGCAAACAAAUAAAGCUUCAAUAACUGACUGUAAAGAAAUAAGUAUCUAUAAACUGACUGGCAAAGAAUUCAGAAUAACCCUAUUAAAGAAGUUUGUAACUACAAGAAGACACAGAUAGGCAACUAAACAAAAUUAGGAAAACAAUACAUGAACAAAUGAAAUGUUCAUUAAAGAAAGCUGAAGAAUGGAAUUCUUCAACUAAAAAGUUCAAUAAAGAGCUGAUAGACUCAGGCAAGCAGAAGAAAGAAUCAGUGAACUUGAAGACAUCCUUUGAAAUUAUCCAUUCAGAGGAGUAAAAAAUCAGAAAAAUGAAAAACAGUGAAGAAACCCUAUAGGGUUUAUGGGACACUAUAAGCAAAACAAUAUACAUAUAAUGGGAGUCCUAGAAUGGGAGAGAGAAUGGGGAGAAAGUCUAUUUUAAAAAAUAAUGACUGUAAACUUCCCAAAUUUGGGGAGAGAAAUGGACAUUGAGAUUCAUUAGACCCAAAGGUUCUCAAAUAGGUUGAUCUCAAAGAGGUAUACAGCAAGUAAAUUAGCAGAAUUCAAAGACAAAGAGAGAAUUUUUAAAGUAGCAAGAGAAAAGUGACUCAUCACAUAUGAGGGAGCCUCCAUCAGACUUCACUGGAUUACUCAUGAGAAAUCUUGCAGGCCAGGAGAGAGUAGGGACAUAUAUUAAAAAUAUUGAAAGCAGUAAAACUGCCAAGAAUACUAUACCCAGCAAAGUUGUCCUUGAGAAAUGAAGGAAAGAUAAAGACUUUCCCAAACAAAAGCUGUGGGAGUUUAUUACUACUAGACCUGCCUUACAAGAAAUGCUAAAGGGAGUUAAGGGAGUUUUUCAAUCUGAAAUUAAAUGAUUAUAAUUAACAAUGUAAAAGCACAUGAAUGUAUAAAACUCACCGGGAAAGGUAAAUACAGUCAGCCCUCUAUAUCUUUGGGUUUCACAUCUGUCAAGUCAACCAACCACAGAUUUAAAAUAUUAGGAAAAAACACAUCAAUAUUGAAGAUGUACAGACAUUUUUCUUGUCAUUCUUCCCUAUACAAUACAGUGUAACAACUAUUUAUAUAGUAUUUACAUUUUAUUAGGUAUUAUAGGUAAAUUAGAGAUGAUUUAACGUUGGAAAAUGUGCAUAGGUUAUAUGCAAAUAUUAUGCUACUUUUUAUCAGGGAUUUGAACAUCUGCAAAUUUUGGUAUCCACAGAAAGUUCUGGAAUCAAUCCCCUACAAACAGUGAGGGGCAAGUGUAUAUAGUUAAAUUCUGAAUUUUCUAGUAUUGAAAUAGUCUUACGUAAAUCACUUUCAACUCUAGUGUAAAAGUUUAAAGACAAAUAUUAAAAGUAACUUUAACUGCAAUAAUUUGUUAAUGAACACACAAUAUUAAACAGAUGUAAAUUGUAACAUUAAUAACCUUAAAUGUGAGUUGGUGGGGAGAAUUAAAAGUAUAGAGUUUUUUUUAUGUGAUUGAACUUAUGAGCUUAAAAUAAAAUGUUAUAACUAUAAAGUAUUUUUAAAUAAGCCUCAUGAUAGCCACAAAGGAAAUAUCUGUAGUUGAUACAGAAAAAAUUAAGAUAAAGGAAUCCAAGCAUACCACCAUAAAAAGUCAUAAAAUCACAAAGGAAAACAGCAAAAGAAGAAGAAGGGAAGAGAGGAACUCCAAAACAGAAAACAACAAAAUGGCAAUAGUAAGUCCUUACCUAUUGAUGAUUAAAUAUAAGUGGAUUAAGUUAUCUAAUCAAGAAACAUAGAGUGGCCAAAUGGAUUUUAAAAACCAAGAUCCAACUAUGCUGCAUAUAGGAGACUCACUUUCAGUUUAAAGACACGCAUAGGUCUCAAGUGAGAAAUAAUUUGGCAAAUAAAAAUUAAAAAAUAAAAAAAAGACACACAUAAGCUGGAAGUGACGGAAUGGAAAAUAAUAUCCCAUGCAUAUGGUAAUCUAAAGAAAGUUGGGGUGGCUACUUAGACAAAAUAGACUUUAAGUCAAGAACUGUGACAAGAGACAAAGAGGGCCAUUAUACAAUGACAAGGGGGUCAUGUCAUCAAGAGGAUAUAACAAUUGUAAAUAUAUAUGUACCCAAAACUGGAGUACCUAAAUAUAUAAAGGAAAUAUUAACAGAACUGGAGGGAGGAGAAAUAGAUAGCAAUACAAUAGUGGUAGGGGACUUCAAUACCCACCUUCCACAAUGACAGAAAAUCAAUAAGGGAACAGAGGAAUUAAACAAUGUUGUAGACCGAGUGGCUCUAACAGACAAAUAUAGAACAUUCUAUCCAAAAGCAGCAGAUUACAUAUUCUCCAAAUAAAGAUCAAAUGUUAGGACUUAAAACGUCUUAAGAUAGCAAUCAUAUCAAGUAUCUUUUCUGACCACAAUGGUAUAAAACUGGAAAUCAAUGACAGGAGAAAAAUGGAAAACUCACAAAUAUGUGGAAAUUAUGCAACACAUUUCUGAACAACCAAUGGGAAAAAGAAGAAAUCAAAAAGGAAAUUUUAAAAAUAUCUUGAGAAAAAUAAAAUGGAAACACAACAUACUAAAACUUAUGGGAUGCAGCAAAACCAGUUUUUAAUAUAGCAAUAAAUGCCUAUGUCAAGAAAAAUGAAAGAUCUCAAAUAACCUAACUUUAAACAUCAAGGAAGAAGAAGAAAUCUCAAACUUAGCCGAAUAAACAAAGUAAUAAAGAUAAGAACAAAAUACAUGAAAUACAGAUUAGAAAGACAAUAUAAAAGAUUAACAAAAUGAAGACUUUGCUUUUUGAAAAGACAAACAAAAUCGGCAAAUUUAGCUAGAUAACCAAGAAAUAAAGAGAGGAUUGAAAUCAAAUUAUGAAUGAAAGAGAAGGCAUUACAACUGAUACCAUCCAACCACAAAGGGUCAUAAAAGAUUACUAUGAACAAUUAUAUACCAACAAAUUGGGUAACCUUUUCUAGAAAUAUACGACCUACCAAGACUGACUCAUAAAGAAAUAGAAAAUCUAAACACACCAGUAAAGAGUAAGGAGAUUGAAUUGUUAAUUAAAAAUUACCCAACAAAGAAGAGAACAGGACCGAUGGUAUCACUGGUGGAUUCCACCAAAUAUUAAUGAGCAAUUAAUGCCAAUUCUUUUCAAACUUCCAAAAAAUUAAAGAGGAGGAAACACUUCCAAACCUGUUCAAUGAGGCCAGCGUUACCCCAACACCAAAGCCAGAUAUGGAUACUAUAAGGAAAAGAAAUUACAGGCCAAUAUCCCUGAUGAAAAUAGAUAUAAAAAUUCUCAACCAAAUACUAGCAAACAAAAUACUAGCAAAAUUCAACAAUACAUUAAAAGGAGCAUACACCAUGAUCAAAUGGAAUUUAUUCCAGGCAUGUAAGGGUGGCAUGAUAUACGAAAUCAAUAAGUAUGAUACACCACUUUAACAAAAUGGAGGAUAAAAAUCGUGUGAUCAUUUCAGUAGGUGCAAAAAAGCAUCUGACAAAAUUCAACAUUCUUUCAUUGUAAAAACUUUAAAAAUUGGGUAUAGAAGCAAUAUACCUAAACAUGAUAAAGACCACAUAUAACAGGCCCACAGCUAACAUCAUACUCAAUGUUGAAAAGCUGAAAAUUUUUCUCUAAGAUUAGGGGCAAGUCAGGAUGCCCACUCUUGCUCCUUCUAUUCAACAUAGUACUGAAAGUCCUAGCCAUUGCAAGAGGCAAGAAAAAGAAAUAAAAGGCAACCAAAUCAAAUAGGGAAAAGUUAAAUUGCCUCUGAUUGCAGAUGACAUGAUCUUAUCUAUAUAAAACCCUAAUGGCUCCACCAAAGAAAACUAUAGAAAUAAGAACUUUAGUAAAGCUACAGGGUACAAAAUCAAUAAAAAUCAGUUGCAUGUCUACGCAAUAUCUGAAAAUAAAAACUAUGUCAUUUACAAUAACAUCAAAAACAACAAAAUCCUUAUGAAUAAAUUUAACCAAGGGGUGAAAGAUCUGUAUAUUGAAAACUACGUGAUGUUGAUGAUAGAAAUUGAAGAAGACACCAAUAAAUGGAAAAACAUCCCAUGUUUUGGAAGAACCCCUAUCAAAAUUCCAAUGCCACUUUUCACAGAAAUAGAAAAAACAUCUUAAAACUCAUAUGGAACUAUAAAAGACCCCAAAUAGCCAAAGCAAUCUUGAGAGAGAAGAGCAAAGUUGGAGGCAUCAGACAUUCUGAUUUUAAGUUAUUUUACAAAGCUAUAGUAAUAAAAAUGGUAUGGUACUGGCAUAAAAUCAGAAAUGCUGACCAAUGCAACAGAAUAGAGACCAGAAAUGAACCCAUGCCUAUACAGUCAACUAAUAUUUUACAAGGGUAUCAAGAACAUACUAUUCAGAAAGAAUAAUCUCUUCAAUAAAUGAUGCUGGGAAAACUGGAUAUCUAUAUGCAAAAAGAAAUGAACUUGACCUCUAUCUUAUAUCACACAAAAAAAUUAACUUGAAAUGAAUUAAAGACUUAAAUAUCAAACCCAAACCAAAAACUUCUAGAAGAAAACAUAGGGAAAAUAUUCUCUGUCCUUGGUCUUAGCAAUGAUUUGUUUGGAUAUGACACCAAAAGCACAGACCACAAGAGAAAAAAAAGUUGAUCUACGUCAAAUCAAACAGCUUCUGUUUGAUAAAGGAAACAACUAAAUGAAAAUGUACCAUAGGGAAUGGGAGAAAAUAUUUGCAAACCAUGUAUCUGGUAAGAGGCUAAUAUCCAAAAUACAAAAGGAACUCAUACAAUAUAAUAGCAAACACAAACAAUCUGAUUUUAAAAUGGGAAAAAGACUUGAAGAUAUACAAAUGGCCAAUAGGUAUAUGAAAAGGUGCUCAGUAUUACUAAUUAUCAGGGAAAUGCAAAUCAAACCACAAUGAGAUAUUGCCUCAGACCUGAGUGGCCAUUAUAAAAAAUACAAGGGAUACAAAGGAUAACAGAUGUUUAUGAGGAUGCGGUGAAAUGGGAACCCUUGUACACUGUUGGUGGGAAUGUAAAUUAGUGCAGCCAUUAUAAAAAACAGUAUGAAGUUUCCUCAAAAAAUUAAAAAUCAACCUAUCAUUCGUUUGAUCCGGCAAUCCCAUCUCUGGAUAUAUACCUGAAGGAAAUAUAAUUAGUAUCUGGAAGAGACAUCUGCACCCGUAUGUUCAUUGUAGUAUUAACCACAAUAGCCAAGACAUGGAACCAAUCUAAGUAUCCACUGAUGGAUGAAUGGACAAAUAAAAUUUGUAUAUAUGUACACACACACACACACACACACACACUCUUACAUAGGAAAACUUUUCAACCUUGGUUCCCCCCAAAAAAGGGAAAUUCUGUCAUUUACAACAAUGUGGAUGGACCUGGAAGAUAUGCUAAGUGAAAUAAGCCAGACAUAUUAGAGACUUUUGGCCCAUUGUCACUUUGCAUUUGCCUAGUGUAUAACCGAGGACAGGCAGAACAUAUAUCCUACUAAUUUGCUUAUAGCAUAUUUGAUAGAGUUAAUUUCAGCACAUAGAACAAUCUUUUUGUAGAAAGUGGAUUCUCAGGGUGUUGUCAAGUCUCAGCAUAGUUUUCCCAGAGACCUCAUC